CGGCCCGUAGUUUAACGGUAAAACCGGCGUCUUAUACACGCCUAUCGGAGGUCCGACUCCUCCCGGGCCGA
rnacentral:tRNA from 1 species